rnacentral:rRNA from 1 species
CCCUUAGAUGUUCUGGGCCGCACGCGCGCUACACUGAUACGUUCAACGAGUCCAAAACCUUGAUUGAUAGGUCUGGGUAAUCUUUUGAAGACGUAUCGUGCUAGGGAUAGAUUAUUGCAAUUAUUAAUCUUGAACGAGGAAUUCCUAGUAAACGCAAGUCAUCAGCUUGCGUCGAUUACGUCCCUGCCCUUUGUACACACCGCCCGUCGCUCCUACCGAUUGGGUGUGCUGGUGAAAUGUUCGGAUCGGCCGUUUGUCGCGGUUUCCGCGGCUCGUGGCUGAGAAGUUCAUUAAACCCUCCCACCUAGAGGAAGGAGAAGUCGUAACA